rnacentral:rRNA from 1 species
GUUGUCGUCAGCUCGUGUCGUGAGAUGUUGGGUUAAGUCCCGCAACGAGCGCAACCCUUGAACUUAGUUGCCAUCAUUCAGUUGGGCACUCUAAGUUGACUGCCGGUGACAAACCGGAGGAAGGUGGGGAUGACGUCAAAUCAUCAUGCCCCUUAUGAUUUGGGCUACACACGUGCUACAAUGGACAAUACAAAGGGCAGCGAAACCGCGAGGUCAAGCAAAUCCCAUAAAGUUGUUCUCAGUUCGGAUUGUAGUCUGCAACUCGACUACAUGAAGCUGGAAUCGCUAGUAAUCGUAGAUCAGCAUGCUACGGUGAAUACGUUCCCGGGUCUUGUACACACCGCCCGUCACACCACGAGAGUUUGUAACACCCG